GCUCUAGACUAGUGGAUCCCCCGGGCUGCAGCCCAAUGUGGAAUUCGCCCUUCGCCCGCCGCGCGCGGCGGGCGGGGCGGGGGCACGGGGGGCCUACGGGAGGCAGCAGUGGGAAUAUUGCACAAUGGGCGCAAGCCU
rnacentral:rRNA from 1 species